CUAGCGACUUCAGAGUUUGAUCCUGGCUCAGGAUGAACGCUGGCGGCGUGCAUAACACAUUCAAGUCGAACGAACAAAGAGGGGCUUGCUCCUCUGAGUUAGUGGCGGACGGGUGAGUAACGCGUGAGGAACCUGCCUUCGAGAGUGGAAUAACAACCGGAAACAGUUGCUAAUACCGCAUGAUAUAGUACCGUGGCAUCACGGAACUAUCAAAGAUUUAUCGCUCGAAGAUGGCCUCGCGUCUGAUUAGGUAGUUGGUGAGGUAACGGCUCACCAAGCCGACGAUCAGUAGCCGGACUGAGAGGUUGACCGGCCACAUUGGAACUGAGAUACGGUCCAG
rnacentral:rRNA from 1 species